AUGAAUUGUCGACACGAGUUGUUGCUGGUCCCCAAACGGGGGCAUGUGCACGUUCUGUUUACACAUCCACUCACACCUGUGCACCCUCUGUAGUUCUGUGGCAUGGGGGACCCUGUCCUCCUGCUGUGGCUCUACGUCUUUACACACACACUGUAACAAAGUCUCAUGGAAUGCAUGCCGCGUUUAACGCAAUACAAUA
rnacentral:misc_RNA from 1 species